rnacentral:lncRNA from 1 species
GUCCCGCUCCACCCCUAGUCUAGCCCUGCUCCAAGCCCGGCAGAGGGAGACUGGGGCGGCCCUGAGGAACGCCCUACACCCCCUCCUAAAGUUGAUCAACCUCUCCUCCCCUCCACCGUUCCCCUAGCCUACUCACCUCCCCACUCCGUUCUUUCCCAGAGAAGCGCAGCCGCUGCGCUCCGGCCGGUUCAGCAGGAUCAAUAACCAAAGUGCGCAAAGAAGGCGACCUCGGAGAGACCUAGCAGAGAACAGGAGAGCUCAUGGGAAACACACCUGGCGGUACUGUGGGAUGCGAAGUGGGCGCCUCACUCGGAAACCCCGGCCUUGGUGGAUGAUCUAAGAAAAAAAAAAACCCAGAUGGACGGAUACAUGGGCACUUUCGGGAUCGCUGGGUGCAGGCCGCCGUCGCCAUUUCCACCGUCCACUACUCCAGGCACCUGCCUCUCGUCCCCAGCCUUGGCCUUUAGGUCUCCCUUCCCG